GGGGGAACGUUAUCGGAAUUACUGGGCGUAAGCGCACGCAGGCGGUCUGUCAAGUCGGAUGUGAAAUCCCCGGGCUCAACCUGGGAACUGCAUUCGAAACUGGCAGGCUAGAGUCUUGUAGAGGGGGGUAGAAUUCCAGGUGUAGCGGUGAAAUGCGUAGAGAUCUGGAGGAAUACCGGUGGCGAAGGCGGCCCCCUGGACAAAGACUGACGCUCAGGUGCGAAAGCGUGGGGAGCAAACAGGAUUAGAUACCCUGGUAGUCCACGCCGUAAACGAUGUCGAUUUGGAGGUUGUGCCCUUGAGGCGUGGCUUCCGGAGCUAACGCGUUAAAUCGACCGCCUGGGGAGUACGGCCGCAAGGUUAAAACUCAAAUGAAUUGACGGGGGCCCGCACAAGCGGUGGAGCAUGUGGUUUAAUUCGAUGCAACGCGAAGAACCUUACCUGGUCUUGACAUCCACAGAACUUUCCAGAGAUGGAUUGGUGCCUUCGGGAACUGUGAGACAGGUGCUGCAUGGCUGUCGUCAGCUCGUGUUGUGAAAUGUUGGGUUAAGUCCCGCAACGAGCGCAACCCUUAUCCUUUGUUGCCAGCGGUUCGGCCGGGAACUCAAAGGAGACUGCCAGUGAUAAACUGGAGGAAGGUGGGGAUGACGUCAAGUCAUCAUGGCCCUUACGACCAGGGCUACACACGUGCUACAAUGGCAUAUACAAAGAGAAGCGACCUCGCGAGAGCAAGCGGACCUCAUAAAGUAUGUCGUAGUCCGGAUUGGAGUCUGCAACUCGACUCCAUGAAGUCGGAAUCGCUAGUAAUCGUAGAUCAGAAUGCUACGGUGAAUACGUUCCCGGGCCUUGUACACACCGCCCGUCACACCAUGGGAGUGGGUUGCAAAAGAAGUAGGUAGCUUAACCUUCGGGAGGGCGCUUACCACUUUGUGAUUCAUGACUGGGGUGAA
rnacentral:rRNA from 1 species